rnacentral:rRNA from 1 species
GACGAACGCUGGCGGCGUGCUUAACACAUGCAAGUCGAACGGAAAGGCCCUGCUUUUGUGGGGUGCUCGAGUGGCGAACGGGUGAGUAACACGUGAGUAACCUGCCCUUGACUUUGGGAUAACUUCAGGAAACUGGGGCUAAUACCGGAUAGGAGCUCCUGCUGCAUGGUGGGGGUUGGAAAGUUUCGGCGGUUGGGGAUGGACUCGCGGCUUAUCAGCUUGUUGGUGGGGUAGUGGCUUACCAAGGCUUUGACGGGUAGCCGGCCUUAGAGGGUGACCGGCCACAUUGGGACUGAGAUACGGCCCAGACUCCUACGGGAGGCAGCAGUGGGGAAUAUUGCACAAUGGGCCGAAGCCUGAUGCAGCAACGCCGCGUGCGGGAUGACGUCCUUCGGGUUGUAAACCGCUUUCGCCUGUGACGAAGCGUGAGUGACGGUAAUGGGUAAAGAAGCACCGGCUAACUACGUG